UGAUGUUCUAUAACUGUUGUCUUGUACACUAUCCAUAGUGUAAGUCAGCUGGCUCGAGGAAUUUUCAUAUAGUAUUAUCAUUAAACAACAUACCCUAUGCAACAGUUAUGUUGCUACCCAGACAAAACUAUUUUUAUAUUCUAUGUUAAAUGUAAACGAUCAGUUUUAAUUAUAAUACAAAACCACCUUUUAAGCGGUAAUACCUAUCACGCAUUAAACAACAUAUAUGAACAACCAUGUGAUUAUAAAGUCUCACGUUGGUUCCUCCGUGCAACUUCAUGCCUGACUUACAUUCAUAUUGUUCUUUCACCACACUUACGCUUCUCCAAAUUUAGAAAGAAGCUGUGUACACAGUGUUCUUGCGAGUUACAAUAACGCGUCCGGUUUGGCGGCAACUUCAAAGAGUGGACAUAUGGUUGCUCCUUCAGCCACAGCAAAGAUCCCGAACCACGUGCAGUCAGCAGAGUUACAGCGUCUGGUUACCGUCUUGCAGGUACGAUACAGAAUAUGUGCACAUAGCUUUCAAUGACCAGACGAAAAAAAGAAUUCAUUUCAAGUAUGUUGAGAAGAAAACGACCCAUCUCUGAAAAAAACACCUCACCCAAGAAAAUACGACUCAUUCAUGAGAAUGAAAAGUGCAAAGUCUCCCAAGGAAUUUUCUUGUAAUAUAGCAUGUGAAUAAAUAAUUUUUUGAAAUAUCUCACGAAAUUAGUUUUAUUUUAUUGCUUGUAAUCAUGUGAACUAAAAAUGUUUGUUUUGAGGAAAAAGGUCAUUUGAAGCAACUCCAGGUUAAACUAUCCAAUGAUUGAAUCUUAUUUCUCCUGAAUUAAAAUAAUUCUGCUAAAUAUUACUGCAGAAAAAAAUUCGGCCAGAAAUUUCUGUAG